rnacentral:rRNA from 1 species
GAUGAACGCUAGCGGCAGGCUUAACACAUGCAAGUCGAGGGGCAGCACGAUGUAGCAAUACAUGGGUGGCGACCGGCGCACGGGUGCGUAACACGUAUGGAAUCUGCCCUUUACUGGGGGAUAGCCCGGAGAAAUCCGGAUUAAUACCCCAUAACAAUCGAGGUGGCAUCACCUUGAUUUGAAAGCUCCGGCGGUAAAGGAUGACCAUGCGCACGAUUAGCUAGUUGGUGAGGUAACGGCUCACCAAGGCUACGAUCGUUAGGGGGCCUGAGAGGGUUAUCCCCCACACUGGUACUGAGACACGGACCAGACUCCUACGGGAGGCAGCAGUGAGGAAUAUUGCGCAAUGGAGGCAACUCUGACGCAGCCAUGCCGCGUGCAGGAAGAAGGCGCUACGCGUUGUAAACUGCUUUUAACCGGGAAGAAACCCCAGGACGUGUCCUGGGUUGACGGUACCGGAGGAAUAAGCACCGGCUAACUUCGUGCCAGCAGCCGCGGUAAA